GCUUUGUCAAAACAGAUAUAAACUACAAUGUCGGUGUCCUACCUGUCGAAGAAGGGGCUGCAAGGGUUAUGAAGUUAGCAUUGCUGCCCAAUGAUGGCCCUACUGGCUCCUUCUUUGUUCACAAUGAAGUGUCGGAUCUUUGAUUGAAGAAGAUCCAUUUAUGCAAAUUUAAUACGAUUCGCUUAUUGGGCAACAUCUUGUACUGUAAUGUAAUUUUAAGUAUUUUGGACACCAACAGAUCCUUUUGACGUUCUUUCUACAUUCAAUAAGAGGAUGGCAUAUAUGAUGUUUUAUCUAUGUAAAAUUUCACCAUAGCACACUGUUUAAAUAACAAAAGAAAAGGUCAGGUGUUUCUGGCCUAACCGGAAGCCUUCCCCUUUGGUUUUAGGGGAAAGACUUAGCUGUCCUAGGGUGACUACUCCUUGUUCUUUCCUGUAGCAUCUUGUGAUGCAUGCAAGUUUCUUGCGUUUUGAGAAGAGAGACAACGCUGCCAAAUAAAGGCUAAAAGAGUAUUGAGUAAGGCAGUCGCAUCUGAAAUCACAUACACAAGGAGUUUUUUCUUCUUUUAGAAAUGGAAUUCAUUCAUAGAAUCAAAGUAGCGUAUAUAGAACGACACGAAACAGUGACCUAGUUAAAACAUUGUUUAGGGACAAAUUCCAGGGUAGGAAAGAGUACCACAUAUAUCAUUGACUAACAAGAGAGUCUAAAACAAUCACGCAUGACCAAUGCUAGAGCAAGAUAAAAUAAAACAGCAAACUGACACAUAGACCUCCGACGAGAACACUAUAACACAGUCCAAUUGCCAAAAGAGUCAUACUAUGAAAUUAUAGUCCUUUUGACGCAGCGAGAUAUAGGGAUAGGGAGAUCGAACGAUAACCCUACAAUUAACAAUGUCGGAAUCCACCAACAAACUGAAAUCCAUCAGAGAAAUUGAGUAAAACCUCAAAUAUAUUGAUUGAAAAUAAGAUGAAUAAACUGACAAAUACAAUGCCAUGUGUUGGCUUAAAUAGAAAACAAAGAAACCCUAAAACAGUAGGAAACCCUAUGUUCUAGCAUAUUCCUAAACUUACCUAACAAGAAAAUAAUAAAAAUAAUAGCUCAAAAUCAUAAUAACAAAAUAAUAUCCUAAUAGAUAACUUAUUCUUCCAAAUAUAAAAUAAAACAUUAAAUUAAAUACAAAUCUUAACAGAAUCAUAAUUGUUUCAAACUUCCUUAAUCAAUUAGAAAAUCCCAACGAUAUGCCUUCCUUCUUUUCCUAGCGCCAUAAUUGACAUUUAAUUGGAAUUUUCCUCUCUUGCAUGAUUUUCUUACAACUUUGAGCCACUCCACUUUAUUUUAAUUAAUUUUUCACACUUCGUCCUACAUCACCUUUGCACAGCCACAAGACAUUGAGAGUACCCGACAGAGAACACAAUACACCAAGAAGAAAGAAAACAUCCACUAAGCACACCAUCUCUAGCCAACUCCAAUAGCAAUUGGUGAUGAAAGAAGAGAAAUAUGCGAGGAACAACACAAAGAAGAGACUAAUCACGCAAACAGGCCAGGAAAGAAAAUAAAAUAAAAAAGCCCUCAAGCAUGCUGUAUCAUCUGAACACUAACAAAGAAACCUUCUAUGAAAACGUAGUCCUUAAGACAGGCGGAGAAUCAAAGAUUAACUAAGAGGAGAACGAAGAAAACACCACGCAAUGCAACAAUAACAAAAUUGGUCUAGCCAUUUAACCUGAAUACAGGGAUCAAGCACAAGAGCAUUCGCCAGAUGCCAAGCCCACGAAUGCUCCAAGAACACAUUAAGGAAUGCUUCAAGAACACAUUAAGGAAGGCUCCUAGGAGAUUCCACUUGACCAAUCCCCAUAGGUUUGUUAGGACGGACACCAACAUCACCCAAAUUCGCAGUCCCAAUUGCAGAGUAACUAGCCAAACCUGUAAAGAUGGGUAAAAGUGAAGAAAACCUAUAGAAAAUCAUGAGUUUCAUUUGAACAUCAACAUAGAUAAAUAAAAUCAUGGCAACGGAAGCUUAAGCAUGCAUCUAUGAGUUCAACAACAAAAAUUUUCCCAUAUAUCUUUUAAGCCAAGUGAUGGUUGUACUAUUUUCCUAGAACCUACUUCUAAGAAGAUUGGAAGGAGGAGUUAUUUUUGGUGCGUGCUUUCAACCCUAUGAUCGAAUUCCACCAAAGUUGUUGAAGCUUGAAUGACUCCUUCAAAAACUCUAACUUGAGAGGUUCUCCAAAAGUCACCAAAAUAGGUAACCUCUAAGUCUCUUCACCAACUAGAGCUUGAGAAGAAGAUGGUGAGCUUAGUGAGUGGAUGAUCCUAGUAAUCCAUCACUAAGAUAGUAUGAAAGUGUAGAGAGACUUUUGGAAUACUAGAGCUUUCUCUCUCUCUCUUGAUUUUCACUAAUGCUAAGGCUUCAAAAAAAUGAUAGUCAUCUUUUACUUGAGUCAACAAGUUGACUCUAGUAACCAAAAGCCCAUAUGAACGCGUAUCCCUUGAAAUUGGGCCUUUGGGCUCAAUUUUGUUUAAGUUGUCAUACAACCCAUAAAGCCCAAUGAGCCUAGAAUUCAAAAUUCCCCGUUUAAAGCCUAUUCCAACAUUAUGUGUCAUUUAAAUUAAUUCCAUAAUUAAUUUUCCCUUAACAAAUUAACUAAGCUUAAUUGAUCUCUUCAAUUCAUCAUCUCCAUAACGGUUUCUCAAAUAACUCUAGUUUAACAGUGUGCGAUCCAAUAGGUUCUAAUUAGCAAGGUCGUGGGCAAUUUGAACUCUUCGUAAUUGAUUUGUGAAUUAAAACCCCCUUUUAAUUCUCCAUAUUAGCUAGGAUCAUUAGUCCUUAGGGCUUCAACCAUGCAUGAGUGACACCUAGCAGUAUGUCAUGAAUAUCCAAGCUAAGUAGAAUAAGUAGAGAACCUAUUCAGUUGGAAUUACAAUGCAAUACGGUCUUUCCCUAUUACAAUACUCUUAAUCUCAUUGCUAGGGCAUGGUGCGUGUCAAACCCUAAUGAGAUUGUCAAGUCUUAUAUGAUUUGUAUUAGUAUGACUAGAACAUCUUUCUAGGUCAUACCGAAUACUCUGAUAUGAGAUUUGCUUAAUCAUAUCUUCCGAGCAUUCUCAUUCUUUACUGAAGGAUACCGAUUCCAUGUUGUACACACACAUGUCUACAUGAGUUAAUCAAGAACCCCAACAAUGCUUGUACCACGUCCGUGAUUAAGACAUGUAUUUAUAGCAUUAUUAAAGAUCCACAACCUUCCCAUAAGACAAGCAUGGUGCCUCAGGACUAAGUACUAAUUUGCAUUAUUGCAACUUGGAGUUUCUUGUUUCACAUAUAAGUAAAAUUUCCAUAUAAGAAACUCUCGUUUGAUAAGUGUCAUUACAAUAAGAAAUGCUAGAGGUGAACAUGGCUUGAAGUUUGAAAUUAAUUUCUGACACAAUCAUUCUGUCCAGCCUUGCUUCAUAUAUAACAGAUGAAGAUAUCCAAAAGGGCAUCUUGUAUCCAUCUAUUCACAGAUAAUAUUCUCAGCUCCUUGCAGCAUUAAGAGCUCGUCUGAUUUUUAUCAAAAAUGGCAUCGCAAUUCUCAACUGCUGUAACAACUGAGAGGAGGGUGGGGCAACUGGUUGAUUGUAUUACCCGACUGUUUCUAUUGUAUAUGGUGCAGUAUCCGACAUAUAACAGUGGAGGUUGGAGCUGCUGUCCUGCGGGCAGCUGUUGCAGAAGAACUGGCCGAAGGACAUUGUGAUGUGGUUCCCAGAGAGCUCAUGUACAUGUCAAAAGUAAGAACUGAUAUUCAAUCUUCCCUCCACAAAAUACAAAAGCUCUUUUUAAAACACACAAAAUGUCUAAGCGAAUUUUGAUUUAGAAAGCAAGCUCUACAUGUUAGACUACUUUUGCAAAAGGUCUGAACAUGCCAAAGAGGACGUAUUUAGGUGAAGGCGUAUACAUACAGAAAAUGCUAUUCUAAUAAACAUCUAGUCAAACAACCAUAACCAAGAACCUUGAAAAUUGCUUUGCUAGCUUUUGCUUAUAUUGCCAGAGUUUUAGAAGAAAAAUUGUGAUUUUCCUGAAAUCUAUUUUGGUUUUUAUCUUCUUGUUACAGGAGGAGAGUCUGGAAUAUGUGAGUCGCAGCAUGUGGUUCCCAGUUUAUAGCCCUCUUGUUCAUGAAAAAUGAGGCUUGGUUUUGUAUUAUCGUACGCAGUAGGCUGUCGUUGGAGGCUAUAUUUUUUUUGCAGCUCAUAUAUAUCAAUAGGUCUGCAGCUAAGCAACUUAUUCUUGGUCUUUCUUGGAUUCGUAGUUUACAAGCUCAGAGAAGUAGAAGGCAAAGAAGGGAACGGAAAUAAGGCCCUCUUACUAAACUGAAAAGAAAGUAGAAGCCCAUUUGUUUGAACAAUGCAUAAUUACGUGACUAAUAUUAGUGCAAUGUCUUUGUGUUAACUUUCUUUUACGUUAACUUAAUAACAAAGCAAACUGCACCCAAAAAAAAAAAAAAAAGUUCAGGUGUUUUUGGCCUCACAGUAAGAUCCCAGUUGACUUGACCUUCCCCUUUGGUUUUGGGCCAAAGGACUUAGCCGUCCUAGGGUGACUACUGCUAGUUUCUAUAAACGCCGAGAGAGUCUUGUGUAGGGCAGCCACAUGUCAAAUUACACUCGCAAAGAGUUAAGACCUACAUUCAGAGGGUUUUGCCUUUAUUUGAGUGUGCUACCGGUGAGGUGGUCCUAUCUAAGAUUUUUAACUAUCAAUGUAUGUAUUUUAAAUCUAUUAGGGAUGAAAAUGUAAGGGAGAAAAAGACAGAAUUUUCGAAAGGUGGUGUGUAUGUAAGAUUUAUUUCUUAUGAAGUAAUUUGAUCCAUGUUUCUAUAGGAUAUUAUUAUUUACAUUAUUAGUCAAUUAGAGUAGUCAAAACCACCAAUCUUUGCAUGCGAAACUGCUGACUCUGCAACUGCCUCCACCAAAAUUCUCCAACAACGUGGGCACUUGUGUCACCACGCCCCCAUUCUUUUCCUUGAAAAUCUUAAAAACAAAAAUCCAAACAAAUCACUCUCAAGCUAACCACACACGAGCCAAGAACACCAAGAAGUUCUUGCUCAAUAGGAAAGAAUACACUAAAAACAAUACAAAGAAAUAAACCUCUCACAAACACAAGGAACCAAUAAAGAAGACUCAACCUUUGAAAUGGCUUGAUCUUUCAUCGACAUCUUGUGUAGCCAAAGAUGAGUUUAUCUCCACCUUCAUGGUGAUGUUCUCUAGUGUUUCUCUCUUUGUGGAAGUAUCUCUCACUUCUAUUUUAGCCUCUCUGAGCAAUGGUGCUCAUGGCUCCAAAUGGUGAGGCACAAAUGGCCACUCUUCUUUUGCAUGCACCAUUUCUUCCUUUUAUAAACCCAUGCAGCUCUCCAAAUGAGAGCAACCACAUGCCAACGAAGCCACGUGAUGGCCAGCCAAAGAAGGAAAAAAUUCCUUCAUCAUUGCACCACCACCAUGCAUUGUCUCUCACCAAAGACAUCAUCAUUCCAUGCAAUAUUAUUGGCCACCAACUUCAACAAUUGCGGCUUCCCAUUUUAAUCUUCCUCUAACAGGUUGGCCACGUUAUUGGUCAUUAGAGUAAUCAAAUUCACCAGUCUUUGCAUGCGAAACUGCUUACUCUGCUCUGCUACUGCCUCCAUCAAAACUCUCCAACAACGUGGGCACUUGCGUCACCACGCCCCAUUAUUUUCCUCGAAAAUCUUAAAAACAAAAGAGUAGUCAAAUUCGCCACUGCAACUGCUUACUCUGCUCUGCAAAAGCCUCCACCAAAAUUCUCCAACAACGCGGGCACUUGCGUUACCACGGCGCCAUUUUUUUCAUUGAAAAUCUUAAAAACAAAAAUCCAAACAAAUAUUGGUCCCUCUUUCACCACAAUUUCCAAUUACUUCUAAGAAAACAUUAGAAGCUUCCUCCCUCCAGUGUGUACAUAGGAACAAAAGAAUCAAUAAUUUUCUUCUUCUUACAAAGGCUGCUGUCCUCCACCAUGAAGAAAUAAAUUUGAUUUCUUCUUACAAAGGUUCUUAGACACGUGGGUGCAAUUUGGGCUAACAAAAUUAACAAGGGCUGCUCAAAACACAUCACAUGCCAUCAAAUUUGAACCAAUUUCAACACAAAAUUCAAAGGAUUUCCAAGAACAUUUCACUAUAAAAGAAAAGAAGGGUUCCUUCUGUUUAAUACACAUCUCAAUUCUCACAGACCGUCCCGUUUCGAAUAUAUCAAUGGCAGAAGCAACAAAGAGGUAGCACUUUAGACUUCUUUAUGCUUUGUUUCCUUGCCCGAUUCCCAAUCCCAUUAAUUGUUUUUGUUUCUAUGAAUUUGGUGUUUGUAUUUUCUUAGGUAUGCAGUUGUUACUGGAGCAAACAAAGGCAUGGGAUUGGAAACUGUAAGGCAGUUGGCCUCAAAUGGGUUCACCGUAGUCUUAACUGCCCGAGAUGAGAAGAGGGGUCUUGAAGCUGUUGAGAAACUCAAAGAGUCUGGCCUCUCAGGUCAAGUGGUUUUUCAUCAACUUGAUGUGGCUAACCCUGCUACUGUUGCUUCUUUGGCAGACUUCAUCAAAACCCAGUUUGGGAAACUCGAUAUCUUGGUAUGUAUAUGAUCCUAGCGGCAAGUUUCUUGAAAAAGUUUAUCUUGGUAUGUAUAUGAUCCUAGCGGCAGGUUUAAUAGAAGGAGAUUAAAUAUGGAAUCAUAUAGAAAAUGAAAUUGGAGAAUAAAAAUAGCAAACCAAGUAAUAACUAGCGUAAUAAUAUCAUCAACAAGUUAAUCUUUGAAAUGAUUAGAAGUCUUCGGCUUUUUGAAGAACAAAACAAGAUUCACGUAACUACCAGUUGUGGAAGAUUUUACUUUCAAAUCUAACUCUAUGUCUGCCACUCUGUUUUUGUUUCUCGGAAUCUUUUCAUAUUUGAUAUGAUCCCUUUCUGUACAAUUUACAAGUACCCUAGAAAGAUCAGUGGCUGGAAUUAAGGGGUUGGCAAAGUAGCAUAAUUAUUGUGCUUCUUUAAAGGCAUUGGCCUUUAUGGUUGGUAUGGUUGUAAAAACAAAGAGAUUGUCAGAGUACUCAGAGGAUCUAUCAACUUUCUUUUCAUUUCAUUUUCUAUAUAUAAAAAAAUCUGUUCUUUUCUUUGCUAAAAGGAAACAGAAAGUGAAACAGUUGGACUCUGCACAGGUGAACAAUGCAGGGAUUUAUGGAAGCAUAUUAGACGGUGAUGCUUUUAAAGCUGUUAUAGCCUCUGGUGCCAUGGUAAGUUUUUUGCAUAAUUUUUAUCAUAUAAAAAACUAAAAGCUUCAAUGUAUGUGCCAAAGUGAGAAUUUAAACUGAUCUGUAAGUGGUGGGCAAUAAGCACCAUAAUAAUAAGUUUGUUUUGGCUGAUACAGGAAAGAGGAGAAGUUGAUUUGAGUAAACUAGUGACUGAAACUUAUGAGUUUGCAGAAGAAUGCUUGCAAAUAAACUAUUAUGGUGCUAAAAGAACAGCUGAAGCACUUAUCCCACUCCUCCAGUUAUCUGACUCACCGAGAAUUGUUAAUGUUUCGUCUGGUGCGGGGAAGUUAAACAACAUACCAAGCGAUUGGGCUAAAGGAGUUUUUACUGAUGCCAAAAACCUAACAGAAGAGAGAGUAGAUGAGGUACUGACUGAGUUUCUAAAAGAUUUCAAGGAGGGUUCACUUGAAAGUAAAGGCUGGCCUUCUUCUAUGCCUGCCUAUACAGUCUCAAAAGCAGCACUGAACGCAUAUACAAGGAUUCUAGCAAAGAAGUACCUCAAUUUUCGUAUCAAUUCGGUCUGCCCUGGCUUUGUCAAAACAGAUAUAAACUGCAAUGCCGGCGUCUUGCCUGUCGAAGAAGGUGGGGCCAGGAUUGUGAAGUUAGCAUUGCUGCCCAGUGAUGGCCCUACUGGCUCCUUCUUUGUUCACAAUGAAGUGUCAGAUCUUUGAUUGAAGAUGAUCCAUUAUGCAAAUUUAAUACGAGUCACUUAUUGGGCAACAUCUCGUACUGUAAUGCAAUUUUAAGUAUUUUGGUAUGUAUAUUGAUUGAAGGAUCUAGUGCAUUGUUUACAUUUCUACCAUUCAUAUGUUAAUGUGCAAAAAUGGUAAACUGAUUUAGUAUGUAAUUGCUGGUUUAGUGUUAUACUUAGCUUAUAGGCUAAGCUGUCUAUAAUAGUCAAAAUGGUUUGUUAAGUCUUAUAGGACUUGACAGGACAGGUGUCAUAGUCUUACUAAUAGUGUAGUUGGAUGGUUGAGAUUGAAGCUAGGAUUUGUCUAGCUCUCUCUCUCUUCUAACAGUAAUAUGAGCUGUGAGUGAAACAGCUCGAUAUACCCAACGAAAUACAAAAAGUUUUACCGAGCAUUUUAUUUCCUUCACUCUCUUUUUCAAUAUACUCAUUCCUCCAUUUUUAUCAGAAGCUUAUUAAACACUAACAUGGCCUCAGAGCCAGGUUGGGUCUGAAUUUCUGGGCAUUGUGACUGUGAGGUUAGGUUUGAAUCUGUGAGCAAAAGCUCGUUGUGUGAUUCUUGAGCUCAAAUCAGUAAUCUAGACUAACAUGUCUGGAUCUGGAGGAGGAGAACUCAGGGCACCCAUUUUUAAUGGUGAAAAUUUCAAUUUCUGGCAAAUCAAAAUGAAAACCAUCUUCCGUUCGCACGAGCUGUGGGAUCUUGUGGAGAAUGGGUACAAAACUCCGACGAAGGAGGGGGAGGAGCUCACGGAGGUAGAGAGGAAGCUGAUGCGUGAGAACUUGGUGAAGGACGCUAGAGCUCUGGGUAUCAUCCAAGGGGCUGUAUCAGAUCAAAUUUUUCCACGAAUUGCAACUUAGGAAUCUACAAAGGCUGCGUGGGAUAUUCUAAAACAAGAAUUUGUGGGUGAUAAGCAGGUAAGAUCUGUGAAACUUCAGGGUCUUAGGCGUGAUUUUGAAUAUACUCGGAUGAGUGAUAAUGAAUCAUUGUUUGGAUAUAUUGCUAAGUUGUUUGAUCUGAUCAACCAAAUGAAGAGCUAUGGUGAGGAUCUGAGCAAUCAACGAAUUGUUCAGAAACUACUUAUUAGUCUGCCUAAGUCCUAUGAUAGUAUUGCAGCUGUGAUAGAGAAUACAAAAGAUUUAGACACUAUUGAUGCUCAGGAUGUUGUUGCUAUUUUAAAAGGAUAUGAGCAGAGGCAGGGGCGGAACUAUUCAUAGGCCUGAGAUGGCCUGGGCCCCCCCAUCAUCUUCUAAACUCUUUGAAUGUAUAAAGAGUAUAGCAUAGAUUGCACAAAAAAUCCUAUAAUUUUAAAGCUUGUGGCCCCCCCAAAUAUUAAACUCUACCUCCGCCACUGAGCAGAGGCUUGAUAGGCAUGGUGACAAUAGUGCAGAGAAGGCUUUUGCUAGCUUCAACGUUGGAUCAAAGGCAACACGGUCUAAUGGUCACACCAGUAAGUCUCAGAAGAAUGCCAAACCACACGGGCAGCAAUGGGGCAACAAGGGUGAUGGAGGUAAUAAGUCUAAUUCCUCAAUGAAAAAUGAGACAUACAACAUUGGAAAUAAAUGCAAAUUCUGUGAUAAAUUGCACUAUGGAGAGUGUUGGUUUAAGAACAAGGUCAAGUGUCACAAGUGUAACAAAAUUGGGCAUAUUGCAAAAUAUUGUCAUACAAACAAGGCUGUGCAGCAUAUGAACUUUGCUAAUCAUGUUGAAGAAACAGGAAACUUAUUCUUUGCUAAUCAUUCUGGAGAAGUAAAGAAGAUGAGUGAUGAAUGGUACAUAGAUAGUGGAUGUAGCAAUCAUAUGACAUCCAGGGAAGACUUGCUUGUAGACAUUGUCAGAGAAGUGAAAGCAAAGGUUCAAGUAGGCAAUGGAGUUUUGGUUGAAGUGGCAGGAAAAGGGACAUUGAUCAUUGAAACAAUGAAGGGUAAGAGGUAUAUAAAGGAGGUUAUGCUUGUACCUAGUCUAGCUGAAAAUUUGCUAAGUGUAGGACAGAAGACAGAGCAUGGCUAUUUUCUUGUAUUUGGAGAUCACAAGGUUGACAUCUUCGAUGAUAGUUCCUUAAGUAACAUGGUGGUAAGUGUAAAGCAAAAGGGGAACAGGUGUUUUCCUUUAACUUUCAACAAAAUCAAGGUGAUUGCCUUGAAAACAAAUGUGCAAGAAUGCUCCAAGAUAUGGCACAAGAGGUUUGGGCACUUAAACUUUCGAAGCCUCAAGCUACUGCAGAGCCAAGCAAUGGUAUUGGGGCUGCCUGAAAUCCAAAACGGUGAAGUGUUGUGCCACAGUUGUGUAUUGUGGAAGGGUCACAGGGAGCCAUUUCCUAAGGAAUCAAAGUGGAGAGCCAAGGAGCCAUUAGAAUUGAUUCAUUCAGACUUGUGUGGUCCAAUGCAAACAGCAAGCCUAGGUGGAAAUAAAUAUUUUAUCACAUUCAUAGAUGAUUUUUCAAGGAUGUGCUGGGUUUAUUUUCUGAGAAACAAGUCCGAGACAUUCCAUGUGUUCAAGAAAUUCAAAGUAAUGGUGGAGCUUCAAUCCGGAUACCAUGUGAAGAGGUUGAGGAUUGAUCGGGGAGGAGAAUACAUCUCAGCUGAUUUUCUCCAGUUUUGUGAAAAUCUGGGAAUAGAAAGGCAACUCACAGUUGCUUAUUCUCCACAGCAAAAUGGCGAUGCGGAGAGGAAAAACAGAACCAUUGUAGAAAUGGCAAAGUGCAUGAUUCAUGACAAGGAGCUUCCCUACACGCUUUGGUGUGAGGCAGUGAAUACCUCUGUGUAUUUACUUAAUAGAAGUCCAACCCGAGCUUUGGAGAAUACUACACCUUUUGAGAAGUUUAGUGGGAGAAAGCCUGGAGUUAAACAUCUCAAGGUGUUUGGCUCGGUGUGUUACUCACUUAUUCCUGGAAAGUUAAGGCAUAAGCUAGAAGCAACAAGUGCCAUAUGAGUUUUUAUUGGUUAUGGUAGAUGUGAGAAGGGAUAUAGAAUAUUGAAUCCUGCAACUCAGAAGGUUUUGCUGUCAAGGGAUGCGGUUUUUGAUGAGCAUGGAAAAUGGAACUGGGAGCAACACAAAGUGAAAGAAAUCUGCAUUCCACUUCCUACAGAUGAACUGUCAGAUAUGAGAACAGCUGAAUCAAAAGAAGAACCUACUUUCCAAGAACCUGAAACAGAAGAAGAACCUGCAGAUGAUCCCUCAGUUGAUGACACACCUUUGAGGUACAGAAAUUUGAGUGAGAUCUAUGCAAGUUGCCAUUCAUGGAUAGUGGAGCCUGAGAACUUUGAUGAAGCUGCACGGGAUGAAGCUUGGAAGAAGGCAAUGGAAAAUGAGAUGAACAUGGUUGAGAAGAAUCAGACGUGGGAAUUGGUAAAUAGACCUUUCAACAAACCUAUAAUUGGAGUAAAAUAGGUGUACAAGACUAAGUUGAACUUGGAUGGUUCGGUUCAAAAGCAUAAAGCUAGACUAGUUGCAAAGGGCUAUGCACAAAAGCCUGGAAUAGAUUAUAAUGAAACCUUUGCACCAGUGGCAAGGUUGGAUACUAUACGAACUCUCAUUGCCUUGGCUGCAAAGAAUAGUUGGAAAAUGUAUCAAUUAGAUGUGAAAUCAGCUUUUCUAAAUGGAGUGCUUCAAAAGGAGGUGCAUGUAGAGCAGCCCGAUGGUUUUAUUGUGCAAGGAGAAGAGGAUAAAGUGUAUAAAUUGCACAAAGCCUUGUAUGGCUUGAAACAGGCUCCUAGAGCCUGGUAUGGAGAAAUAGACUCUUAUCUCGUGCAAUGUGGUUUUAAAAGGAGCACAAGUGAGGCAACAUUAUAUGUUAAAGGCAGGGGAACCUCGGAUUUGGUCAUAGUAUCUAUCUAUGUGGAUGAUAUAGUUUAUACAGGGAAUUCUCAAGAGCUAAUGCAAGAUUUCAAGACUAAUAUGAUGCAGAGGUAUGAGAUGACUGAUUUGGGUUUGCUACAUCACUUUCUAGGAAUGGGAAUUAUCCAAAGUGAAGACUACAUUUUCAUAUACCAGAAGAAAUAUGCUUCCACACUUUUGGAAAGGUUUGGUCUGCAGGAUUGUAAACCGGUUGGUAUUCCUCUUGUACCAACUGAUAAAUUGAAGAGAGAUGAUGAAAGUGGAGCUUCAAAUGAAGCUGAAUACAGAAAACUAGUGGGAAGUCUACUCUACCUCACUUUCUCGCUCUGAUAAAACUCUUUUAAGAUAAAGCUCUCACACUCUCAAAUUUCUCUCUCUCUAUUUUCUCUUUGGAUACCGUAUUCUACAACUGAAUGAGCAAGCCUAUUUAUAGUCAAAUUGGGUGGCUUCAUGUGCAUCUCCAAAGUCUUCUUCUCCCAACAUCAUCAUUUUCCUUUUGACUAUCAUUUUCUUAUUUUCUUUGUGUGGGCUCCAUCUACAUCCUUUACAACAUAAUCAACAAUUUUCUACUUCUUAUUAUUUAUUUGAAUAUGAACCUCAAAAUUCAAAGGCCUUCCAAGAAAAUUUCACUAUAAAAGAAAAGAAGGCUCUCCUUCUAUUUAAUACACAUCUCAAUUCUCACAGGCCGUCCCGUUUCGAAUCUAUCAAUGGCAGAAGCAACAAAGAGGUAGCACUUUAGACUUCUUUAUGCUUUGUUUCCUUGUCCGAUUUCCAAUCCCUUUAAUUGUUUUUGUUUCUAUGAAAUUGGUGUUUGUGUUUUCUUAGGUAUGCAGUUGUUACUGGAGCAAACAAAGGCAUAGGAUUGGAAACUGUCAGGCAGUUGGCCUCAAAGGGGUUCACCGUAGUCUUAACUGCCCGAGAUGAGAAGAGGGGUCUUGAAGCUGUUGAGAAACUCAAAGAGUCUGGCCUCUCUGGUCAAGUGGUUUUUCAUCAACUUGAUGUAGCUAACCCUGCUACUGUUGCUUCCUUGGCAAACUUCAUCAAAAUCCAGUUUGGGAAACUCGAUAUCUUGGUAUAUAUAUGAUCAUAGCUGCAGGUUUCUUCAAAAAAGUUUCUGUCUUUUGAAUCCAACUCGUAAUCCAAAUGCGAUUUAGUGGAAGGAGAAGAAAUAUGGCAUUGGAGAAUAAAAACGGCAAACCAAGUAAUACUAGCUUAAUAAUAUCAUCAAGAAGUUAAUCUUUGAAAUAAUUAGAAGUCCUAGGCUUUUUGAAGAACAAAACAAGUUUCACAUAACUACCAGUUGUGGAAGGUUUUACUUUCAAAUCUAACUCUAUGUCUGCCACUCUGUUUUUGUUUCUUGGAAUCUUUUCAUAUAUGAUAUAAUCCCUUUCUGUACAAUUUACAAGUACCCUAGUAAGAUCAGUGGCUGGAGUUGAGGGGUUUGGCAAAGUAGCAUAAUUAUUGUGCUUCUUUAAAGGGAUUGGCCUUUAUGGUUGGUAAUAGUAUGGUUGUAACAACAAAGAGAUUGUCAGAGUAAUCAGAUAGUGAAACAGACAGUGAAACAGUAUGGUUGUAUCAACUUUCUUUUCAUUUCAUUUUCUAUAAAAACAUGUCUGUUCUUUUCUUUGCUAAAAGAAAACAGAUAGUGAAACAGUUGGACUCUGCACAGGUGAACAAUGCAGGGAUUGGUGGAAGUAUAGUAGAUGGUGAUGCUUUAAAAGCUGCUGUAGCCUCUGGUGCCAUGGUAAGUUUUUUGCAUAAUUUUUAUCAAUAGCUAUCAAAAACUAAAAGCUUCAAUGAAUGUGACAAAGUUAGAAUAUAAACUGAUCUGUGGUUUGGCAAACUUUAAUCAACAUUUUUCUUGUUUUGGGUGGGUGUGUAAGUGGUGGGCAAUAGGCACCUUAAUAAUAAGUUUGCUUUUACUGAUACAGGAAAGAGGAGAAGUUGAUUUGAGUAAACUAAUGACUGAAACUUAUGAGUUAACAGAAGAAUGCUUGCAAAUAAACUAUUAUGGUGCUAAAAGAACAGCUGAAGCACUUAUCCCACUCCUCCAGUUAUCUGACUCACCGAGAAUUGUUAAUGUUUCAUCUUCCAUGGGGAAGUUGGAGAAGAUACCAAGCCAUCGGGCUAGAAGAGUUUUUACUGAUGCUGAAAACCUAACAGAAGAGAGAGUAGAUGAGGUACUGACCGAGCUUCUAAAAGACUUCAAGGAGGGUUCACUUGAAAGGAAGGGCUGGCCUUCUUCUAUGUCUGCCUCUACAGUCUCAAAAGCAGCACUGAACGCAUAUACAAGAAUUCUAGCAAAGAAGUACCUCAAUUUUCGUAUCAAUUCAGUCUGCCCGGGCUUUGUCAAAACAGAUAUAAACUACAAUGUCGGUGUCCUACCUGUCGAAGAAGGGGCUGCAAGGGUUAUGAAGUUAGCAUUGCUGCCCAAUGAUGGCCCUACUGGCUCCUUCUUUGUUCACAAUGAAGUGUCGGAUCUUUGAUUGAAGAAGAUCCAUAUAUGCAAAUUUAAUACGAUUCGCUUAUUGGGCAACAUCUUGUACUGUAAUGUAAUUUUAAGUAUUUUGGACACCAACAGAUCCUUUUGACGUUCUUUCUACAUUCAAUAAGAGGAUGGCAUAUAUGAUGUUUUAUCUAUGUAAAAUUUCACCAUAGCACACUGUUUAAAUAACAAAAGAAAGGGUCAGGUGUUUCUGGCCUAACCGGAAGCUCCGAGCUGGCUUGAUAACCUUCCCCUUUGGUUUUAGAGAAAGACUUAGCUGUCCUAGGGUGACUACUCCUCUUUCUUUCCUGUAGCAUCUUGUGAUGCAUGCAAGUUUCUUGCGUUUUGAGAAGAGAGACAACGCUGCCAAAUAAAGGCUAAAAGAGUAUUGAGUAAGGCAGUCGCAUCUGAAAUCACAUACACAAGGAGUUUUUUUUCUUUUAGAAAUGGAAUUCAUUCAUAGAAUCAAAGUAGCGUAUAUAGAACGACACAAAACAGUGACCUAGUUAAAACAUUGUUUAGGGAUAAAUUUUAGGGUAGGAAAGAGUACCACAUAUAUCAUUGACUAACAAGAGAGUCUAAAACAAUCACGCAUGACCAAUGCUAGAGCAAGAUAAAAUAAAACAACAAAUUGACACAUAGACCUCCGACGAGAACACUAUAACAUAGUCCAAUUGCCAAAAGAGUCAUACUAUGAAAUUAUAGUCCUUUUGAAGCAACGAGAUAUAGGGAUAGGGAGAUCGAACGAUAACCUUACAAUUAACAAUGUCGGAAUCCACCAACAAACUAAUUCACCAGAGAGUAAAUCUCAAAUAUAUUGAUUGAAAAUGAGAUGAAUAAACUGACAAACACAAUGCCAUGAGUUGGCUUAAAUAGAAAACGAAGAAACCCUAAAACAGUAGGAAACCCUAUGUUCUAGUAUAUUCCUAAACUUACCUAACAAGAAAAUAAUAAAAAUCAUAGCUAAAAUCAUAAUAACAAAAUAAUAUCCUAAUAGAUAACUUAUUCUUCCAAAUAUAAAAUAAAACAUUAAAUUAAAUACAAUCUUGACAGAAUCAUAAUUGCUUCAAACUUCCUUAAUCAAUUAGAAAAUCCCAACGAUACGCCUUGCUUCUUUUCCUACAUUUAAUUGGAAUUUUCCUCUCUUGCAUGAUUUUCUUCCAACUUUGAGCCACUCCACUUUAUUUUAAUUAAUUUUUCACACUUCGUCCUACAUCACCAUUGCACAGCCACAAGACAUUGAGAGCACCCGAUAGAGAACACAAUACACCAAGAAGAAAGAAAACAUCCACUAAGCACACCAUCUCUAACCAACUCCAAUUGCAAUUGGUGAUGAAAGAAGAGAAAUAUGUAAGGAACAACACAAAGAAGAAACUAACCACACAAACAGGCCAGGAAAGAAAAUAAAAUAAAAAAAGCCCUCAAGCACGCUGUAUCAUCUCAACACUGACAAAGAAACCUCCUAUAAAAGCAUAGUCCUAGUGACAGGCGGAGAAUCAAAGAUCAAUUAAGAAGAGAACGAAGAAAACACCACGCAACAAUAACAAAAUUGGUCUAGCCAUUUAACAUGAAUACAGGGAUCAAGCACAAGAGCAUUCGCCAGAUGUCAAGCCCACGAAUGCUCCAAGAACACAUUAAGGAAGACUCCCAAGAGAUUCCAAAAACAAUAUCAUUAAUAUUGCAAACAAGCUAACUUUUCUUUUUUCAAAUUUACCCUUAUUAAAUAUUUUUAUUCAAAAAUUUUACAACUUUUUUAUUACUCUCUCCCACUAUCACAUUCUCUCUCUCACACACCCAGACCCAUCUUCAUAACCCACCACUCCACCCAGACCCAUCCUCACACUUGGACUCCAUUUAUUAAGCAAAUUGACACCUUCGCUUUGGCAAAGUCAACAAAUGAAACUUCACAUGCACCUCUUGAGUCUUAAUUGAGAAUCCUAACACGAUUUGUGAGCCUGCUCGUUUUGCAGAAAAAAAAUUUCCAGCUCCCUCCCCUUAACCCAAAUUCAAAACCAUUUGGAAGACUCCCACCGUCGCUUUUCCCCCUUCUCCAUCAUCCCUGCACUUAUACCUCACCAACCCUCCCUGCAAUUUCUCACCACACCCACCCCCACCCCCACCCCUUUCCCCAAUCUCUAUGUACAUCCUCCCUGAAAUUUGGGUUUCUGCAAAAGAACAAAAAAAAAAAAAAAAAAAAAAAAAAGAUGACAAAAUCAUCGUAUUCAUAUUUUUGUGGAUAGACGUGUGAAGGAGGUAUUGUAAAAUAAAUAAAUAAAGAUCAAACAUGGGUGGGGUGGAAAAUGAAUGUGGCUGUUGGGUUUUCAUCGGCGGGGGAGGAGUCGAGGUUGUGGUGGGAAAAUGAAAUUAAUGGCUGGGGUGGGAGGUGGGGGUGGCUGCGCAGGUGGGAGGAGAGAUGAGUUGUGGGUGUUGACUGCUGGGUUUUCCCAGAGGAGGGGGCCAGGGCGAGUUGGGGUGGGGAUCGGGUGAUUGAAAAACCCCUUUUUUUAUUGUUUAUUAUUUUUUUUUAAAAAAAAGGGUAAAUACGGAAAUACAAUUAAUGUUCUUUUGUGUAAUUAAAUUAUUAGUUUAAGUGAGAGGGAAGUGACAUGUGUCGUGAGUAAAAGAACGAAAAUUCAAAAGAGAAAGUUAGAAAAAAGAUGCUAGCAUUCCCCAUCCUUAAACACAAAAAUCCAAACAAAUCCGAUUACUUCUUAUCAUUUAUUUGAAUACAGACCUUUAAAUUCAAAGGCUUUCCAGAAGAGAAGGCCUCUUCCUUCUGUUCAAAGGCUUCCCAUUUCGAAUAUAUCAAUGGCAGAAGCAACAAAGAGGUAGCACUUUAGAGUCCUUUCUGCUUUGGUUCCUUGUCACAUCUCCAUUCGCUCUAAUUGUUUCUGCUUACCAUUUUUGUGUUAUGAAUUUGGUGUUUUUGUUUUUCCAGGUAUGCAGUUGUUACUGGGGCAAACAAAGGCAUAGGAUUGGAAACUGUGAGGCAAUUGGCCUCAAAUGGAUUCACUGUAGUUUUAACUGCCAGAGAUGAGAAAAGGGGUCUUGAAGCUGCUGAGAAACUCAAAGAGUCUGGCCUCUCAGGUCAAGUGGUUUUUCAUCAACUUGAUGUGGCUAACCCAGCUACUGUUGCUUCCUUGGCAGACUUCAUCAAAACCCAGUUUGGGAAACUCGAUAUCUUGGUAAGUAUAUGAUCAUAGCUGCAGGUUUCUUGAAAAAGUUUAUGUCUCUUGAAUUGAACUCUUAAUCCGAACGCGAUUUAAUUGAAGGAGAUGAAAUAUGGAAUCAUAUAGCAAAUGAAAUUGGAGAAUAAAAAUAGCAAACCAAGUGUUAACUAGCUUAAUAAAUGUCAUCAAGAAGUUAAUCUUUGAAAUAAUUAGAAGUCUUAGGGUUUUUGAAGAACAAAAUAAGUUUCACAUAAACUACCAGUUGUGGAAGAUUUUACCUUCAAAUCUAACUCUAUGUCUGCCACUCUGUUUUUGUUUCUUGGAAUCUUUUCAUAUAUGAUAUGAUCCCUUUCUGUACAAUUUACAAGUACCUUAGAAAGAUCCGUGGCUGGAAUUAAGGGGUUUGGCAAAGUAGCAUAAUUAUUGUGCUUCUUUAAAGGCAUUGGCCUUUAUGGUUGGUAUGGUUGUAAAAACAAAGAGAUUGUCAGAGUACUCAGAGGAUCUAUCAACUUACUUUUCAUUUCAUUUUCUAUAAAAUAAAAAAAUCUGUUCUUUUCUUUACUAAAAGAAAACAGAAAGUGAAACAGUUGGACUCUGCACAGGUGAACAAUGCAGGGAUUUUUGGAAGCAUAUUAGAUGGUGAUGCUUUUAAAGCUGUAAUAGCCUCUGGUGCCGUGGUAAGUCUUUUGCAUAAUUUUUAUCAAUAGCUAUCAAAAACUAAAAGCUUCAAUGUAUGUGCCAAAGUGAGAAUUUAAACUGAUCUGUGGUUUGGCAAACUUUAAUAAACAUUUUUCUUGUUUGGGGUGUUGUGUAAGUGGUGGGCAAUAGGCAUCAUAAUAAUAAGUUUGCUUUUGUUGAUACAGGAAGGAGGAGAAGUUGAUUUGAGUAAACUAGUGACUGAAACGUAUGAGUUAACAGAAAAAUGCUUGCAAAUAAACUAUUAUGGUGCUAAAAGAACAGCUGAAGCACUUAUCCCACUCCUCCAGUUAUCUGACUCACCGAGAAUUGUUAAUGUUUCGUCUGGCUCGGGGAAGUUAAAGAAGAUACCAAGUGAUUGGGCUAAAGGAGUUUUUACUGAUGCCGAAAACCUAACAGAAGAGAGAGUAGAUAAGGUACUGACUGAGCUUCUAAAAGAUUUCAAGGAGGGUUCACUUGAAAGUAAGGGCUGGCCUUCUUCUAUGCCUGCCUAUAUAGUCUCAAAAGCAGCACUGAACGCAUAUACAAGGAUUCUAGGAAAGAAGUACCCCACUUUUCGUAUCAAUUCAGUCUGCCCUGGCUUUGUCAAAACAGAUAUAAACUUCAAUGCCGGCGUCUUGCCUGUCGAAGAGGGUGGUGCCAGGAUUGUAAAGUUAGCAUUGCUGCCCAAUGAUGGCCCUACUGGCUCCUUCUUUGUUCACGAUGAAGUGUCAGAUUUUUGAUUGAAGAUGAUCCAUUUAUGCAAAUUUAAUACGAGUCAUUUAUUGGGCAACAUUUGGUACUGUAAUGUAAUUUUAAGUAUUUUGGUAUGUAUAUUGAUUGAAGGAUCUAGUGCAUUGUUUACAUUUCUACUAUUCAUCUGGCUCUUGGACUCAUAUUAUCAUUUACAAUGUUAUUCAGUCAGAAAUUCUAUGUGAUCGAUGUCCGGUAUUAUCGAUAGUAUAUCAAUAACAUUUCGGUAUAUUUUGUUAGACUUAAGUUAGAGACAAUAAUAUUGACAGUCCAUCAUUUAAUUAAGGACGAAGUUUUGAGAAGAAUUGAUUAUUCAAUAUUAUCCAACUUAAAUUGUAAUAGCACAAUCGCAAACUUCUGCAGUCAAUUGUGUAAACGAAGGCAUAGGAUUGGAAACUGUCAGGCAGUUGGCCUCAAAAGGAUUCACUGUAGUCUUAACUGCCAGAGAUGAGAAGAGGGGUCUUGAAGUUGUUGGGAAACUCAAAGAGUCUGGCUCCUCAGGUCAAGUGAUUUUUCAUUAGCUUGAUGUGGCUAACCCAGUAACACAGGAGAAGGUUAAUGUUAAAUUGAGUGGCUGAUAUAUAUCAUGCUUAUUGUGUCCACUUCCAGUUGUGUACACGUACCAAGUACCCUAGAAAGAUCAGUGGCUGGAAUUAAGACCCACAUUCAGAGGACUCUCACCCUUAUUUAAGUGUGCUACCGGUGCGGCAGUUUUAUCGAAGAUUUUUUCCUAUCAAAAGGUGAAAGUUGUCACAAGUAAAUUAAUAUCCAUGUUUCUACUAGGAUAUAUUAGUCAAUUAGAAAUUUUCUGCGCAAGUUGAAAAGUCUUGCAUGCGAAACUGCUUGCCACUGCCACCACCAAAAUUCAACAACGUGAGCACUUGCGUCACCACUACCCCAUUAUUUUCCUUUAAAAUCUUCACAACAAAAUUCCAAACAAGUCUUGGUCCCUCUUUCACCACAAUAUCCAAUUACUGCUAGAAAACACUAGAAGCAUCCUCCCUCCAGUAUGUAAUAGGAACAACAGAACCAACAAUUUUCAUCUUCUUCUUAAUAUUUAUCUUAAUAUAAUCCCCAGAAUUCAAAGGCUUUUCAAGAACAUUUCACUAUAAAAGAGAAGAAGGCUGUUGCUGUUUAAUACACAUCUCAAUUUUCCCAGACCGUCCCGUUUCGAAUCUAUCAAUGGCAGAAGUAACAAAGAGGUAGCACUUUAAAGUACUGCUUUCAUAACAAUUUCUCACUAUUUUUGUGUUCUGAAUUUGGUGUUUUUUGUUUUCUCAGGUAUGCAAUUGUUACUGGAGCAAACAAAGGCGUAGGAUUGGAAACUGUCAGGCAGUUGGCCUCAAAUGGAUUUAUUGUAGUCUUGACUGCCAGAGAUGGCAAGAGGGGUCUUGAAGCUGUUGAGAAACUCAAAGAGUCUGGCCUCUCUGGUCAAGUGGUUUUUCAUCAACUUGAUGUAGCUAACCCUGCUAGUGUUGCUUCCUUGGCAGACUUCAUCAAAACCCAGUUUGGGAAACUGGAUAUCUUGGUAUGUAUAUGAUCAUAGCUGCAGGUUUCUUGAAAAAGUUUCUGUCUUUUGAAUCCAACUCUUAAUCCAAAUGCGAUUUUGUUGACGGAAUUGGAGAAUAAAAAUAGCAAACCAUCUACAUUUGUUUCUUGGAAUCCUUUCAUAUAUGAUGUGAUCCCUUUCUGUACAAUUUACAAGUACCCUAUAAAGAUCAGUGGCUGGAGUUAAGGGGUUUGGAAAAGUAGCAUGGUUGGUUUGGUUGUAAAACAAAGAGAUUAUCCAAGUAAUCAGAGGAUCUAUCAACUUUCUUUUCAUUUCAUUUUCUAUAGAAAAAAAUUAUGUUCUUUUCUUUGCUAAAAGAAAACAGAUAGUGAAACAGUUGGACUCUGCACAGGUGAACAAUGCAGGAAUUUUUGGAAGCAUAAUAGAUGUUGAUGCUUCUAAAGCUGCUGUAGCCUCUGGUGCCAUGGUAAGUCUUUUGCAUAAUUUUAUCAAUAGCUAUCAAAAACUAAAAGCUUCAAUCUAUAUGCCAAAGUGAGAAUUUAAAAUGAUUUGUGGUUUGGCAAACUUUAAUCAACAUUUUUCUUGUUUGGAGUGUUGUGCAAGUGGUGGGCAAUAGGCACCAUAAUAAUAAGUUUGCUUUUGCUGAUACAGGCAAGAGGAGAAGUUGAUUUGAGUAAACUAGUGACUGAAACUUAUGAGUUAACAGAAGAAUGCUUGCAAAUAAACUAUUAUGGUGCUAAAAGAACAGCUGAAGCACUUAUCCCACUCCUCCAGUUUUCUGACUCACCGAGAAUUGUUAAUGUUUCUGCUGGCUUGGGGAUGUUAAACAACAUACCAAGCGAUUGGGCUAGAGGAGUUUUUACUGAUGCCGAAAACCUAACAGAAGAGAGAGUAGAUGAGGUACUGACUGAGCUUCUAAAAGAUUUCAAGGAGGGUUCACUUGAAAGUAAGGGCUGGCCUUCUUCUAUGCCUGCCUAUAUAGUCUCAAAAGCAGCACUGAACGCAUAUACAAGGAUUCUAGCAAAGAAGUACCCCAAUUUUCGUAUCAAUUCAGUCUGCCCUGGCUAUGUCAAAACAGAUAUGAACUUCAAUGCCGGCCUCUUGCCUGUCGAAGAAGGUGGUGCCAGGGUUGUGAAGUUAGCAUUGCUGCCCAAUGAUGGCCCUACUGGCUCCUUCUUUGUUCAGAAUGAAGUGUCGGAUCUUUGAUUGAAGAUGAUCCAUUCAUGCAUAUUUAAUACAUGUCACCUAUUGGGCAACUUCUUGUACUGUAAUGUAAUUUUAAGUAUUUUGGACACCAGCAGAUUCUUUUUUGGUUCUUUCUACAUUCAAUACGAGGAUGGCAUGUAUAUGAUGCUUUUUAUCUAGGUAAAAUUUCACCAAAGCACAAUGUUUAAAUAACAAAAGAAACUGCACCCCAAAAAAGAAUAGAAAAGUUCAGGUGUUUCUGGCCUCACAGGAAGCUCUCAGCUGACUUGACCUUCCCCUUUGGUUUUUGGGGAAAGACUUAGCUGUCCUGGGGUGACUACUCCUUGUUCCUUCCUAUAGAAUCUUGUGAUGUAUGCAAGUUUCUUGCGUUUAGAGAGGAGAGACAACACUCCCAAAUAAAGGCCGAAAAAGUCACAUUUGUUAUAAAACUAAAGAAAUUGAAGAGAGAAUUUAGAGAAUUCAAAUAGCGACAGGAAUGCUCUUCCGUUAUUUUCAUUGAGAUUUUCUUCUAUAUCUACAAAUGAGAAUGAAGCUAUAGUUUUAUAGGCAAAGCCUUGGCUAACAAUUCGGUAAAUAGAAGACUCCAAGAAGGUGUAUGGAGAUUCCCUUCCAACAUGUGGGCUUCACUUUAUCAUCUUACAACAACAUUAGGGGGUCUCACCCUUUUUUGAGUGUGCUACCAGUCAUUAUGAGAUCCAUGUUUCAACAUGAUAUUAUUAUUUACCUUACCAGUCAAUCAGAAAAAGUAAGUAGGGUCUACACAAAAUUAGAAAUUGAAUUCUUGAUUUGAGGGGAAUUCAAUUUUUGAGUGGGAUGUGGUAUUUUAAUUUCAGGAGAACUAACUUAUUAGAAAUUCAUCUUUUUUACUCAUUAUAUCUUCAUACAAUUUUAAAAUUUCCAAAUUUGUUAUCUAUUUUAACUCGACAAUGAGGACAUUUUAGUAAUUAGUACAACUCCUACCUCAAUUUCAUAUGGUUUAGUAAACAACUUUAAUAGGAAUUUGGAAUCUAACUCUCCUCAAUCCAUAUAAUUUAGCAAACAACUUCAAUAAGAAUACGGAUUCUAAUUCUCCUUAAUCUAACUCAUCCUCAAUUCAAUUCCUCUUAAUCCGUACUCACCACCCCCAUUCUUUUCCUUCUAGAAAACGUUAGAAGCAUCCUCAAUCCAGUAUUUAUAUAGGAACAAACGAAUCAAAAAAUUUCUUCUUCUCAUUAUUAUUUAUUUGAAUAUAGACCUCAAAAUUCAAAGGCUUUCCAAGAACAUUACACUAUAAAACAAAAGAAGGCUCCUUCCUUAUUUUUAAUUAAUCUCAAUUCUCACAGACCGUCCCGUUUCGAAUAUAUCAAUGGCAGAAGCAACAAAGAGGUAGCACUUUAAAGUCCUUUAUGCUUUGAAGUACUGCUUCCAUAACAAUUUCUCACUAUUUUUUGUGUUAUGAAUUUGGUGUUUGUGUUUUCUCAGGUAUGCAGUUGUUACUGGAGCAAACAAAGGCAUAGGAUUGGAAACUGUGAGGCAAUUGGCCUCAAAUGGAUUCACUGUAGUCUUAACUGCCAGAGAUGAGAAAAGGGGUCUUGAAGCUGUUGAGAAACUCAAAGAAUCUGGCCUCUCACGUCAAGUGGUUUUUCAUCAACUUGAUGUGGCUAACCCUGCUACUGUUGCUUCCUUGGCAGAGUUCAUCAAAACCCAGUUUGGAAAACUCGAUAUCUUGGUAUGUGUAUGAUCAUAGCUGCAGGUUUCUUGAAAAAGUUUCUGUCUUUUGAAAUAAUUAUGUCUUAGGCGUACACAAUAUCCACACAGGUGAAGGUUAUAUUAGAGACUGUAAAAUUGAGUGGCUGAUCCAUAUAUUGCUUGCUUAUUGUGACCACUUCCAGUCGUGGAAGAUUUUACUAUCAAAUCUGACUCUAUGUCUGUCACAUUGUUUUUUCGGUUUUUUUUUGGUGUGGAAUUCUUUCCAUAUAUAUGCUAUAUGAUCCCUCUCUGAACAAUUUACAAGUACCCUAGAAAGAUCAGUGGCUGGAGUUAAGGGGUUUGGGAAAGGCAUAAUUGUUGGCCCUUGUGGUUGGUUUGGUUGUAACAACAAAAGAGAUUUAUCCAAGUAAUCAGAGGAUCUACCUUCUUCCAAUUAAUUUCAAUUUCUAGAAAAAAUUUCAGUUCUUUUCUUUGCUAAAAGAACCCAAAUAGUGAAACAGUUGGACUCUGCACAGGUGAACAAUGCAGGGAUUAGUGGACGCCAAGUAGACGGUGAUGCUCUUAAAGCUGUAGUAGACUCUGGUGCCAUGGUAAGUCUUUUGGAUAAUUUUUAUCAAUAGCUAUCAAAAACUAAAAGCUUCAAUGUAUGUGCUUAAUAUGAAUGUAAGUUCUCAUGAUGUCUUCCUCUGUCUUGAAAUAUUUUCAUUGUGAUGUGCAUGUCAAACUUUGAUCACCAUUUUUCUUGUUUGGGAUGGUUGUAAGUGGUUGGCAAUAGCCACCAUAAUAAGUUUGUUCUUACUGAUGCAGGAAAGAGGAGAAGUUGAUUGGAGUAAAUUAAAGAUAGAAACUUAUGAGUUGGCAGAAGAAUGCUUGCAAAUAAACUACUAUGGUGCUAAAAAAACGGCUGAAGCACUUAUCCCACUCCUCCAGUUAUCUGACUCACCGAGAAUUGUUAAUGUUUCCUCUUCCUUGGGGAAGUUAAAGAACAUACCUAGUGAUUGGGCUAAAGGAGUUUUUACUGAUGCUGAUAACCUAACAGAAGAGGGAGUAGUUGAGGUACUGACUGAGCUUCUAAAAGCCUUCAAGGAGGGUUCACUUGAAAGUAAGGGCUGGCCUUCUUCUUUGUCUGCCUAUAUAGUCUCAAAAGCUGCACUAAACGCUUAUACAAGGAUUCUAGCAAAGAAGUACCCCGAUAUUCGUAUCAAUUCGGUAUGCCCCGGCUUUGUCAAAACAGAUCUAAACUCCAAUGCCGGCGUCUUGCCUGUCGAAGAAGGUGGUGCCAGGGUUGUGAGUAUAGCAUUGCUGCCCAAUGAUGGCCCUUCUGGUUCCUUCUUUGUUCAGUAUGAAGUGUCAGAUCUUUGAUUGAAGAUGAUCCAUUUAUGCAAAUUUAAUACAUGUCACUUGUUGGGCAGCAUCUUGAACUUUGAUGUAAUUUAAGUAUAUUUGGAACCAGCAGCGGAUCCUUUUUAUGUUCUUUCUACAUUCAAUAAGAGGAUGGCAUAUAUGAUGCUUAUUGUUGUAGCCAUAUUUAAUUGUGCAACAUUCUCUAUCUAAUAGUCCUCUAUGAUUGCAUCUUUAUGAAAUUAUCUCCCACAUCUGGAAUUGAUUGAAGCAUCUGGUGCAUUGUUUGUUUACAUUUCUACUAUUCAUCUGCCUCUUGAACUCAUGUUAUCAUUUGCAUUGUUAUUCAGUCAGAAAUUCUAUGUGAUUCAUGUUCAUCCUUUGAUCGAUAUUAUUGAUGGUAUAUUGAUAACAUUUAGGUAUAUUUUGUGACAUAUGUCAGAGAAUAAUAUUGACACCUUCUGCAGUCAAUUGUUUAAAAAAACAAAAAGACAACAUAGGUCUCGUUAACAAUUAUGUAAUUUUGGAGCGGUUAAAUUCACCAAUCUUGCCGACGAAACUGCUUCAGCCUUGGCAUGUGGUUGAUGGUUGAGUUAAGCUCUCUCUGCUCUGCCACCACCACCAAAAUGCUUAAACAAUGGGAGCACUUGCGUCACCACCCCCAUUCUUUUCCUUAAUUCUUAAAAGAAAAAUCCAAACAAAUGUUGUUUUCCCAUCAGAUUACUUCUAGGAAACAUUCGACGCAAGCAUCCUCCCUCCAGUAUAGGAACAAACGAGUCUUAACAAUUUUCUUGCUCUUAUUAUUAUUUAUUUGAAUAUCAAACUUGAAAUGUGCAAAGGUUUUCCCACAGACAGACGAUCCCAUAAACGAAUCAGCAAUGGCAGAAGCAAGAAAGAGGUGGCACCUUAGAGUCCAUACCCUUUGAUUACUUCUAUAACAAUUUCUCACUCUUGUUUUUGUUUCCUUUUUGCUUUCCUAUUUUUGUUAUGAAAUUGGUGUUUCUUCUUUUGUUUUUCCAGGUAUGCAGUUGUUACUGGGGCAAACAAAGGCAUAGGAUUGGAAACUGUCAGGCAGUUGGCCUCAAAAGGAUUCACUGUAGUCUUAACUGCCAGAGAUGAGAAGAGGGGUCUUGAAGCUGUUGAGAAAUUCAAAGAAUCUGGCCUCUCAGGUCAAGUGGUUUUUCAUCAACUUGAUGUGGCUAACCCUGCUAGUCUUGCUCCUUUGGCAGACUUCAUCAAAACCCAGUUUGGGAAACUCGAUAUCUUGGUAUGUAUGAUCAUAGCUACAGGGUUAAUGUAAAAUUGAGUGAUCUAUAUCAUGCUUAUUGUGUCCACUUCCAGUUGUGGAAGAUUUUACUUUGAAGUCUAAAUCUAACUCUAACUAUAUGAAAGAUCAGUGACUGGAAUUAAGUGGUGUGACAAAGUAGCAUACUUAUUGGCCUUCUUUGAAGAGCACUGGUUGGUUAUAGCAGAUAGUUUAUCCAAGUAAUCAAAGCAUCUACCAACUUUCUUUUAAUUCCAUCUUGUAGAUGUUUUUUUCUUUGCUUUUGUUUGCAAAAGUAAAACAAGUAGUGAAACAGUUGGACUCUGCACAGGUGAACAAUGCAGGGAUUGGUGGAAGCACAGCGGAUCCUGAUGCCUUUAGAGCUGUAGUAGAGUCUGGUGCCUUUGUAAGUCUUUCAGAUAAUUCUUAUCAAUAGCUACCAAAAACUUAAAGCUUUAAUGUAUGUGUUUAAUGUGAAAAUUUAAAUUGAUCUGUGGUUUGGCUUAAUGCUAUGGCAAUUAGUAGGGGAAAUGAUCUGUGUAACAUCACCAGGCUGGUAUGAUUCGGGUGGGUGUGUAAGUAGUUGGCAAUAGCCACCGUAAUAAGUUUGUUCUUACUGAUGCAGGGAAGAGGAGAAGUUGAUUGGAGUAAACUAAGUACUGAAACUUAUGAGUUGGCAGAAGAAUGCUUGCAGAUAAACUAUUAUGGUGCUAAAAGAACAGCUGAAGCACUUAUCCCACUCCUCCAGUUAUCCGAUUCACCGAGAAUUGUUAAUGUUUCGUCUUUCAUGGGGAAGUUAAACAACAUACCGAGCGGUUGGGCUAAAGUAGUUUUUACUGAUGCAGAAAACCUAACAGAAGAGAGACUAGAUGAGGUACUGACUGAGCUUUUAAAAGCCUUCAAGGAGGGUUCACUUGAAAGUAAGGGCUUUCCUUCUUCUUUGUCAGCCUAUAUAGUCUCAAAAGCUGCACUGAACGCAUAUACUAGGAUUCUAGCAAAGAAGUACCCCACUUUUCGUAUCAAUUCGUUAUGCCCUGGCUUUGUCAAAACAGAUAUAAACUACAAUGUCGGUGUCCUACCUGUCGAAGAAGGGGCUGCAAGGGUUAUGAAGUUAGCAUUGCUGCCCAAUGAUGGCCCUUCUGGCUCCUUCUUUGUUGAGUACGAAGUGUCAGAUUUUUAAUUGAAGAUGAUCCGUUUAUGCAAAUUAAAUACAUGUCAUUUAUUUGGCAGGAUCUUGAAUUUUUAAUGUAACAAAGUGUAUUUGGACCCAGCACCAGAUCCCUUUUAAGUUCUUUCUACAUUCAAUAUGACUCGAGGACAACAUACAAUAGUCUUGUAUGAUUGCAUCUUUGUGAAAUUAUCUUCCACAUAUGGAAUUGAUUGAAGGAUCUAAUACAUUGCUUGUUUACAUUUCUACUUAUCAACUGGCUGUUGAACUCAUAUUAUCAUUUACAUUAUUAUUCAACCAGAAAUUCUAUAUGAUUGAUAUCCAUUUUUUGAUCGAUACUAUCAAUAACAUUUUGGUAUAUUUUGUUAUGGAUAUGCUGACAACAAUUAUAUUAACACUUAAUCCACAAUUCUUUCAUUAAUUAAGAAAUGACGUAGGUAUAAAGAAGAAUUGAUUAUCCAACAAUCCCUCAUUCCCUCGUUCCAUCAAUAUUAUUGUAUUCAAUUGUUUAAUAAAGAAAAAGACAAUUGUCAUGUUCAAUGCAAAACUGCUUAAGACUUCGCAUGUUACGACUUUUUUGCCUAUACACUCCAAUGGUAGUUGAGACAUUGGGGAAGCCCUUGUGAACAUGUUGUUGAAAGGUCUCUCUGGUCUGUCAACGUGUGCACUUGCGUCACUACCUUCUCCUUUUCCUUAACGAAAAUUCUACAGAGAAAAAUCCAAGCAAAUGCUGUUCUAUCUAUCUUUCCCAUUCAAAUGAUGUCAUAUCUCACUAUAUCUCACCAAACCCAGUUAUUAACUUAUUAUUACUUUCAUGACCCAAAAAAGAAAAAGUUACUUUUACGUUUUCCGUUUUUUGCUAUACCACUUUUUUGUCAGUAAGGACACAAUUGUACUUUUAUAAAUCCAAACUAACAAACGCCAUAAUGGGCUUACUCAUUGACUAAAAACUAACAAAAAUAUAAAAUCACUUGAGCAAGACCCAAAAGUAUAUAGGGUAUUUAGAAGAUCUUAAUUAGUGCAUUUCCACAUGUAAGCUUAUAAAUAGGACCGAAAUAUAGAAGAAUUCUACAAUAAAUUUUAGGAAAAAUUCAAUUUGUCUUUCAAAAUUAAAAUAAGGAGUUAAAUUCUUAUUACGGAUACUUCUAUGUUUUUUCCACAUUGAGAAACUAAAAAUACAAAUGACACCCACAAAAAAAGUAAAAAUUCAAUUCUUGAGUAGGGCAGCCGCAUGUGAAAUCACACUCGCAAAGAGUUAAGACCCACAUUCAGAGGGUCUCACCCUUAUUUGAGUGCCACCGGUGCCGCGGUCCUGUUUAAGAUUUUUUUCCUAUCAAAAGGUGAAGGUUGCCACAAGUAAAUUAAUGUAUGUAUUUUAUAUCUAGUGGGGAUGAAAAAGUAAGGUGAUCCAUGUUUCUAUAGGAUAUUAUUAUUUACAUUAUUAGUCAAUUAGAGUAGUCACAUCCACACCAGUCUUUGCAUGCGAAACUGCUUACUGCCCUGCAACUGCCUUCACCAAAAUUCUCCCACAAACCCAUUAUUUUCCUUUAAAAUCUUAAAAACAAAAUUUGGUCCCUCUGUCGCCACAAUUUCUAAUUAAUGUUAGAAAACACUAGAAGCAUAUAGGAACAAAAGAAUCAAAAUUUUCUUCUUCGUAUUAUUUAUUUGAAUAUGACCUCAAAAGUCAAAGGCUUUCCAAGAACAUUCACUAUAAAAGAAAAGAAGGCUCCUUCUGUUUAACACACAUCUCAAUUCUCACAGACCGUCCCGUUUCGAAUCUAUCAAUGGCAGAAGCAACAAAGAGGUAGCACUUUAGACUUCAUUAUGCUUUGUUUCCUUGUCCGAUUUCCAAUCCCUUUAAUUGUUUUUGUUUCUAUGAAUUUGGUGUUUGUGUUUUCUUAGGUAUGCGGUUGUUACUGGAGCAAACAAAGGUAUAGGAUUGGAAACUGUAAGGCAGUUGGCCUCAAAUGGGUUCACCGUAGUCUUAACUGCCCGAGAUGAGAAGAGGGGUCUUGAAGCUGUUGAGAAACUCAAAGAGUCUGGCCUCUCAGGUCAAGUGGUUUUUCAUCAACUUGAUGUGGUUGACCCUGCUACUGUUGCUUCUUUGGCAGACUUCAUCAAAACCCAGUUUGGGAAACUCGAUAUCUUGGUAUGUAUAUGAUCAUAGCUACAGGUUUCUUGAAAAAGUUUCUGUCUUUUGAAUCUAACUCUUAAUCCGAAUGCGAUUUAGUUGGAAGCACGGAUACGCUGGUUGAGGUGCGUAUCCCGUAUCCGAUACGCUAGGGGAUACGAUACGCUGUGAAUACGUGCGGAUACCCGAUGGAUACGUAUCCGAGUAAACGGAUACGGUCAAAGACAAAAAGAUACUCGUAUCUGACAUUACAGAUACGAGUAUCUGAUGUUUAGGAUACGCGUAUCAGGAAACGUCUCCACUUCUUCUUUCAGAUCUUCCUUCUUCUUCUUCAUCCAGCAGUGCCCCCACUCAUCAAUUCUUCUUCUUCGUCCUUAAGAAGCCCAGAUCUUCCUUUUUCUUCUUCAUCCAGCGGCGCCCCUACUCAUCAAUUUCUUCUUCUUCAUUCUUCAUUGUCGGCGGCGUCGGGUUCUCUUCUCCAUUUUCAUUUUGUUUUCUCACGCGUGCUUCUCUGUUCUUUUGACAAAAGGAUUUUGUUUUGUUUUUGUCUUUUUUUUUGGUCAAAGGAUUUUGUUUGUUUAAUAUUCACAGUUUCACCCACACCCCACGUGAUGGCUGGUCUUAUCGUUUUGACAAAAGGAUUUUGUUUUGUUUGUCUUAUUAAAAGUAAUAAUAUUAUAACCAAGACAAGUGGAAGUAUGUUAAAAGUAAUAAUAUCAAAAGUAGUUAUUUAAAAUAUGUUAUAAAUUAUAUAUAUUGUUAUUUUUAAAUUAUUAUAUAUUAUUUAAAUUACCGUAUUCACGACGUAUCGUAUCCUAAUUUUUAAAAAUUUAUCGUGUCUCCGUGUGGUGUCGUAUCGUAUUCUCGUAUCCGUAUCCGUGUCCGUGCUAUGAAAUAUGGAAUUGGAAAAUGAAAAUAGCAAACCAAGUAAUAACUAGCUUAGUAAUAUCUUCAACAAGUUAAUCUUUGAAAUAAUUAGAAGUCUUAGGCUUUUUGAAGAACAAAACAAGUUUCACAUAACUACCAGUCUACCACUCUGUUUUUGUUUCUUGGAAUCUUUUGAUAUAUGAUAUGAUCCCUUUCUGUACAAUUUAUAUGUACUCUAGAAAGAUCAGUGGCUGGAGUUACGGGGUUUGGCAAAGUGGCAUAAUUAUUGGGCUUCUUUAAAGGGCAUUGGACUUUAUGGUUAGUUUGGUUUUAACAACAAAGAGAUUGUAAGAGUAAUCAGAGGAUCUAUCAACUUUCUUUUCCUUUCAUUUUCUAUAAAGAUUUUCUGUUCUUUUCUUUGCUAAAAGAAAACAGAUAGUGAAACAGUUGGACUCUGCACAGGUGAACAAUGCAGGGGUUAUUGGAAGCAUAGUAGAUGGUGAUGCUUUUAAAGCUUCUGUAGCCUCCGGUGCCACGGUAAGUCUUUUGCAUAAUUUUUUUAUCAAUAGCUAUCAAAAACUAAAAGCUUCAAUGUAUGUGCCAAAGUGAGAAUUUAAACUGAUCUGUGGUUUGGCAUACUUUAAUCAACGUUUUUCUUGUUUGGGGUGGGUGUGUAAGUGGUGGGCAAUAGGCACCAUAAUAAUAAGUUUGUUUUUGCUGAUACAGGAAAGAGGAGGAGUUGAUUUUAGUAAACUAGUGACUGAAACUUACGAGUUAACAGAAGAAUGCUUGCAAAUAAACUAUUAUGGUGCUAAAAGAACAGCUGAAGCACUUAUCCCACUCCUCCUGUUAUCUGACUCACCGAGAAUUGUUAAUGUUUCUUCUGUCAUGGGGAUGUUAAACAACAUACCAAGCGAUUGGGCUAGAGGAGUUUUUACUGAUGCCGAAAACCUAACAGAAGAGAGAGUAGAUGAGGUACUGACUGAGCUUCUAAAAGAUUUCAAGGAGGGUUCACUUGAAAGUAAGGGCUGGCCUUCUUCUAUGCCUGCCUAUAUAGUCUCAAAAGCAGCACUGAACGCAUAUACAAGGAUUCUAGGAAAGAAGUACCCCACUUUUCGUAUCAAUUCAGUCUGCCCUGGCUUUGUCAAAACAGAUAUAAACUUCAAUGCCGGCGUCUUGCCUGUCGAAGAGGGUGGUGCCAGGAUUGUAAAGUUAGCAUUGCUGCCCAAUGAUGGCCCUACUGGCUCCUUCUUUGUUCACAAUGAAGUGUCAGAUUUUUGAUUGAAGAUGAUCCAUUUAUGCAAAUUUAAUACGAGUCAUUUAUUGGGCAACAUUUGGUACUGUAAUGUAAUUUUAAGUAUUUUGGUAUGUAUAUUGAUUGAAGGAUCUAGUGCAUUGUUUACAUUUCUACUAUUCAUCUGGCUCUUGCACUCAUAUUAUCAUUUACAAUGUUAUUCAGUCAGAAAUUCUAUGUGAUCGAUGUCCGGUAUUAUCGAUAGUAUAUCAAUAACAUUUCGGUAUAUUUUGUUAGACUUAAGUUAGAGACAAUAAUAUUGACAGUCCAUCAUUUAAUUAAGGACGAAGUUUUGAGAAGAAUUGAUUAUUCAAUAUUAUCCAACUUAAAUUGUAAUAGCACAAUCGCAAACUUCUGCAGUCAAUUGUGUAAACGAAGGCAUAGGAUUGGAAACUGUCAGGCAGUUGGCCUCAAAAGGAUUCACUGUAGUCUUAACUGCCAGAGAUGAGAAGAGGGGUCUUGAAGUUGUUGGGAAACUCAAAGAGUCUGGCUCCUCAGGUCAAGUGAUUUUUCAUUAGCUUGAUGUGGCUAACCCAGUAACACAGGAGAAGGUUAAUGUUAAAUUGAGUGGCUGAUAUAUAUCAUGCUUAUUGUGUCCACUUCCAGUUGUGUACACGUACCAAGUACCCUAGAAAGAUCAGUGGCUGGAAUUAAGACCCACAUUCAGAGGACUCUCACCCUUAUUUAAGUGUGCUACCGGUGCGGCAGUUUUAUCGAAGAUUUUUUCCUAUCAAAAGGUGAAAGUUGUCACAAGUAAAUUAAUAUCCAUGUUUCUACUAGGAUAUAUUAGUCAAUUAGAAAUUUUCUGCGCAAGUUGAAAAGUCUUGCAUGCGAAACUGCUUGCCACUGCCACCACCAAAAUUCAACAACGUGAGCACUUGCGUCACCACUACCCCAUUAUUUUCCUUUAAAAUCUUCACAACAAAAUUCCAAACAAGUCUUGGUCCCUCUUUCACCACAAUAUCCAAUUACUGCUAGAAAACACUAGAAGCAUCCUCCCUCCAGUAUGUAAUAGGAACAACAGAACCAACAAUUUUCAUCUUCUUCUUAAUAUUUAUCUUAAUAUAAUCCCCAGAAUUCAAAGGCUUUUCAAGAACAUUUCACUAUAAAAGAGAAGAAGGCUGUUGCUGUUUAAUACACAUCUCAAUUUUCACAGACCGUCCCGUUUCGAAUCUAUCAAUGGCAGAAGUAACAAAGAGGUAGCACUUUAAAGUACUGCUUCCAUAACAAUUUCUCACUAUUUUUUGUGUUAUGAAUUUGGUGUUUGUGUUUUCUCAGGUAUGCAGUUGUUACUGGAGCAAACAAAGGCAUAGGAUUGGAAACUGUGAGGCAAUUGGCCUCAAAUGGAUUCACUGUAGUCUUAACUGCCAGAGAUGAGAAAAGGGGUCUUGAAGCUGUUGAGAAACUCAAAGAAUCUGGCCUCUCUGGUCAAGUGGUUUUUCAUCAACUUGAUGUGGCUAACCCUGCUACUGUUGCUUCCUUGGCAGAGUUCAUCAAAACCCAGUUUGGAAAACUCGAUAUCUUGGUAUGUGUAUGAUCAUAGCUGCAGGUUUCUUGAAAAAGUUUCUGUCUUUUGAAAUAAUUAUAAGUCUUAGGCUUACACAAUAUCCACACAGGUGAAGGUUAUAUUAGAGACUGUAAAAUUGAGUGGCUGAUCCAUAUAUUGCUUGCUUAUUGUGACCACUUCCAGUUGUGGAAGAUGUUACUGUCAAAUCUAACUCUAUGUCUGUCACAUUGUUUUUUCGUUUUUUUUUUUUUUUUUUUGGGUGGAAUUCUUUCCAUAUAUAUGCUAUAUGAUCCCUCUCUGUACAAUUUAGAAGUAACCUAGAAAUAUCAGAGGCUGGAGUUAAGGGGUUUGGGAAAGGCACAAUUAUUAGCCUUUAUGGUUGGUUUGGUUGUAACAACGAAAGAGAUUUAUCCAAGUAAUCAGAGGAUCUACCUUCUUCCAAUUAAUUUCAUUUUCUAGAAAAAAUUUCAGUUCUUUUCUUUGCUAAAAGAACCCAAAUAGUGAAACAGUUGGACUCUGCACAGGUGAACAAUGCAGGGAUUAGUGGACGCCAAGUAGACGGUGAUGCUCUUAAAGCUGUAGUAGACUCUGGUGCCAUGGUAAGUCUUUUGGAUAAUUUUUAUCAAUAGCUAUCAAAAACUAAAAGCUUCAAUAUAUGUGCUUAAUAUGAAUGUAAGUUCUCAUGAUGUCUUCCUCUGUCUUGAAAUAUUUUCAUUGUGAUGUGCAUGUCAAACUUUGAUCACCAUUUUUCUUGUUUGGGAUGGUUGUAAGUGGUUGGCAAUAGCCACCAUAAUAAGUUUGUUCUUACUGAUGCAGGAAAGAGGAGAAGUUGAUUGGAAUAAAUUAAAGAUAGAAACUUAUGAGUUGGCAGAAGAAUGCUUGCAAAUAAACUACUAUGGUGCUAAAAAAACGGCUGAAGCACUUAUCCCACUCCUCCAGUUAUCUGACUCACCGAGAAUUGUUAAUGUUUCCUCUUCCUUGGGGAAGUUAAAGAACAUACCUAGUGAUUGGGCUAAAGGAGUUUUUACUGAUGCUGAUAACCUAACAGAAGAGGGAGUAGUUGAGGUACUGACUGAGCUUCUAAAAGCCUUCAAGGAGGGUUCACUUGAAAGUAAGGGCUGGCCUUCUUCUUUGUCUGCCUAUAUAGUCUCAAAAGCUGCACUAAACGCUUAUACAAGGAUUCUAGCAAAGAAGUACCCCGAUAUUCGUAUCAAUUCGGUAUGCCCCGGCUUUGUCAAAACAGAUCUAAACUCCAAUGCCGGCGUCUUGCCUGUCGAAGAAGGUGGUGCCAGGGUUGUGAGUAUAGCAUUGCUGCCCAAUGAUGGCCCUUCUGGUUCCUUCUUUGUUCAGUAUGAAGUGUCAGAUCUUUGAUUGAAGAUGAUCCAUUUAUGCAAAUUUAAUACAUGUCACUUGUUGGGCAGCAUCUUGAACUUUGAUGUAAUUUAAGUAUAUUUGGAACCAGCAGCGGAUCCUUUUUAUGUUCUUUCUACAUUCAAUAAGAGGAUGGCAUAUAUGAUGCUUAUUGUUGUAGCCAUAUUUAAUUGUGCAACAUUCUCUAUCUAAUAGUCCUCUAUGAUUGCAUCUUUAUGAAAUUAUCUCCCACAUCUGGAAUUGAUUGAAGCAUCUGGUGCAUUGUUUGUUUACAUUUCUACUAUUCAUCUGCCUCUUGAACUCAUGUUAUCAUUUGCAUUGUUAUUCAGUCAGAAAUUCUAUGUGAUUCAUGUUCAUCCUUUGAUCGAUAUUAUUGAUGGUAUAUUGAUAACAUUUAGGUAUAUUUUGUGACAUAUGUCAGAGAAUAAUAUUGACACCUUCUGCAGUCAAUUGUUUAAAAAAACAAAAAGACAACAUAGGUCUCGUUAACAAUUAUGUAAUUUUGGAGCGGUUAAAUUCACCAAUCUUGCCGACGAAACUGCUUCAGCCUUGGCAUGUGGUUGAUGGUUGAGUUAAGCUCUCUCUGCUCUGCCACCACCACCAAAAUGCUUAAACAAUGGGAGCACUUGCGUCACCACCCCCAUUCUUUUCCUUAAUUCUUAAAAGAAAAAUCCAAACAAAUGUUGUUUUCCCAUCAGAUUACUUCUAGGAAACAUUCGACGCAAGCAUCCUCCCUCCAGUAUAGGAACAAACGAGUCUUAACAAUUUUCUUGCUCUUAUUAUUAUUUAUUUGAAUAUCAAACUUGAAAUGUGCAAAGGUUUUCCCACAGACAGACGAUCCCAUAAACGAAUCAGCAAUGGCAGAAGCAAGAAAGAGGUGGCACCUUAGAGUCCAUACCCUUUGAUUACUUCUAUAACAAUUUCUCACUCUUGUUUUUGUUUCCUUUUUGCUUUCCUAUUUUUGUUAUGAAAUUGGUGUUUCUUCUUUUGUUUUUCCAGGUAUGCAGUUGUUACUGGGGCAAACAAAGGCAUAGGAUUGGAAACUGUCAGGCAGUUGGCCUCAAAAGGAUUCACUGUAGUCUUAACUGCCAGAGAUGAGAAGAGGGGUCUUGAAGCUGUUGAGAAAUUCAAAGAAUCUGGCCUCUCAGGUCAAGUGGUUUUUCAUCAACUUGAUGUGGCUAACCCUGCUAGUCUUGCUCCUUUGGCAGACUUCAUCAAAACCCAGUUUGGGAAACUCGAUAUCUUGGUAUGUAUGAUCAUAGCUACAGGGUUAAUGUAAAAUUGAGUGAUCUAUAUCAUGCUUAUUGUGUCCACUUCCAGUUGUGGAAGAUUUUACUUUGAAGUCUAAAUCUAACUCUAACUAUAUGAAAGAUCAGUGACUGGAAUUAAGUGGUGUGACAAAGUAGCAUACUUAUUGGCCUUCUUUGAAGAGCACUGGUUGGUUAUAGCAGAUAGUUUAUCCAAGUAAUCAAAGCAUCUACCAACUUUCUUUUAAUUCCAUCUUGUAGAUGUUUUUUUCUUUGCUUUUGUUUGCAAAAGUAAAACAAGUAGUGAAACAGUUGGACUCUGCACAGGUGAACAAUGCAGGGAUUGGUGGAAGCACAGCGGAUCCUGAUGCCUUUAGAGCUGUAGUAGAGUCUGGUGCCUUUGUAAGUCUUUCAGAUAAUUCUUAUCAAUAGCUACCAAAAACUUAAAGCUUUAAUGUAUGUGUUUAAUGUGAAAAUUUAAAUUGAUCUGUGGUUUGGCUUAAUGCUAUGGCAAUUAGUAGGGGAAAUGAUCUGUGUAACAUCACCAGGCUGGUAUGAUUCGGGUGGGUGUGUAAGUAGUUGGCAAUAGCCACCGUAAUAAGUUUGUUCUUACUGAUGCAGGGAAGAGGAGAAGUUGAUUGGAGUAAACUAAGUACUGAAACUUAUGAGUUGGCAGAAGAAUGCUUGCAGAUAAACUAUUAUGGUGCUAAAAGAACAGCUGAAGCACUUAUCCCACUCCUCCAGUUAUCCGAUUCACCGAGAAUUGUUAAUGUUUCGUCUUUCAUGGGGAAGUUAAACAACAUACCGAGCGGUUGGGCUAAAGUAGUUUUUACUGAUGCAGAAAACCUAACAGAAGAGAGACUAGAUGAGGUACUGACUGAGCUUUUAAAAGCCUUCAAGGAGGGUUCACUUGAAAGUAAGGGCUUUCCUUCUUCUUUGUCAGCCUAUAUAGUCUCAAAAGCUGCACUGAACGCAUAUACUAGGAUUCUAGCAAAGAAGUACCCCACUUUUCGUAUCAAUUCGUUAUGCCCUGGCUUUGUCAAAACAGAUAUAAACUACAAUGUCGGUGUCCUACCUGUCGAAGAAGGGGCUGCAAGGGUUAUGAAGUUAGCAUUGCUGCCCAAUGAUGGCCCUUCUGGCUCCUUCUUUGUUGAGUACGAAGUGUCAGAUUUUUAAUUGAAGAUGAUCCGUUUAUGCAAAUUAAAUACAUGUCAUUUAUUUGGCAGAAUCUUGAAUUUCUAAUGUAACAAAGUGUAUUUGGACCCAGCACCAGAUCCCUUUUAAGUUCUUUCUACAUUCAAUAUGACUCGAGGACAACAUACAAUAGUCUUGUAUGAUUGCAUCUUUGUGAAAUUAUCUUCCACAUAUGGAAUUGAUUGAAGGAUCUAAUACAUUGCUUGUUUACAUUUCUACUUAUCAACUGGCUGUUGAACUCAUAUUAUCAUUUACAUUAUUAUUCAACCAGAAAUUCUAUAUGAUUGAUAUCCAUUCUUUGAUCGAUACUAUCAAUAACAUUUUGGUAUAUUUUGUUAUGGAUAUGCUGACAACAAUUAUAUUAACACUUAAUCCACAAUUCUUUCAUUAAUUAAGAAAUGACGUAGGUAUAAAGAAGAAUUGAUUAUCCAACAAUCCCUCAUUCCCUCGUUCCAUCAAUAUUAUUGUAUUCAAUUGUUUAAUAAAGAAAAAGACAAUUGUCAUGUUCAAUGCAAAACUGCUUAAGACUUCGCAUGUUACGACUUUUUUGCCUAUACACACCAAUGGUAGUUGAGACAUUGGGGAAGCCCUUGUGAACAUGUUGUUGAAAGGUCUCUCUGGUCUGUCAACGUGUGCACUUGCGUCACUACCUUCUCCUUUUCCUUAACGAAAAUUCUACAGAGAAAAAUCCAAGCAAAUGCUGUUCUAUCUAUCUUUCCCAUUCAAAUGAUGUCAUAUCUCACUAUAUCUCACCAAACCCAGUUAUUAACUUAUUAUUACUUUCAUGACCCAAAAAAGAAAAAGUUACUUUUACGUUUUCCGUUUUUUGCUAUACCACUUUUUUGUCAGUAAGGACACAAUUGUACUUUUAUAAAUCCAAACUAACAAACGCCAUAAUGGGCUUACUCAUUGACUAAAAACUAACAAAAAUAUAAAAUCACUUGAGCAAGACCCAAAAGUAUAUAGGGUAUUUAGAAGAUCUUAAUUAGUGCAUUUCCACAUGUAAGCUUAUAAAUAGGACCGAAAUAUAGAAGAAUUCUACAAUAAAUUUUAGGAAAAAUUCAAUUUGUCUUUCAAAAUUAAAAUAAGGAGUUAAAUUCUUAUUACGGAUACUUCUAUGUUUUUUCCACAUUGAGAAACUAAAAAUACAAAUGACACCCACAAAAAAAGUAAAAAUUCAAUUCUUGAGUAGGGCAGCCGCAUGUGAAAUCACACUCGCAAAGAGUUAAGACCCACAUUCAGAGGGUCUCACCCUUAUUUGAGUGCCACCGGUGCCGCGGUCCUGUUUAAGAUUUUUUUCCUAUCAAAAGGUGAAGGUUGCCACAAGUAAAUUAAUGUAUGUAUUUUAUAUCUAGUGGGGAUGAAAAAGUAAGGUGAUCCAUGUUUCUAUAGGAUAUUAUUAUUUACAUUAUUAGUCAAUUAGAGUAGUCACAUCCACACCAGUCUUUGCAUGCGAAACUGCUUACUGCCCUGCAACUGCCUUCACCAAAAUUCUCCCACAAACCCAUUAUUUUCCUUUAAAAUCUUAAAAACAAAAUUUGGUCCCUCUGUCGCCACAAUUUCUAAUUAAUGUUAGAAAACACUAGAAGCAUAUAGGAACAAAAGAAUCAAAAUUUUCUUCUUCGUAUUAUUUAUUUGAAUAUGACCUCAAAAGUCAAAGGCUUUCCAAGAACAUUCACUAUAAAAGAAAAGAAGGCUCCUUCUGUUUAACACACAUCUCAAUUCUCACAGACCGUCCCGUUUCGAAUCUAUCAAUGGCAGAAGCAACAAAGAGGUAGCACUUUAGACUUCAUUAUGCUUUGUUUCCUUGUCCGAUUUCCAAUCCCUUUAAUUGUUUUUGUUUCUAUGAAUUUGGUGUUUGUGUUUUCUUAGGUAUGCGGUUGUUACUGGAGCAAACAAAGGUAUAGGAUUGGAAACUGUAAGGCAGUUGGCCUCAAAUGGGUUCACCGUAGUCUUAACUGCCCGAGAUGAGAAGAGGGGUCUUGAAGCUGUUGAGAAACUCAAAGAGUCUGGCCUCUCAGGUCAAGUGGUUUUUCAUCAACUUGAUGUGGUUGACCCUGCUACUGUUGCUUCUUUGGCAGACUUCAUCAAAACCCAGUUUGGGAAACUCGAUAUCUUGGUAUGUAUAUGAUCAUAGCUACAGGUUUCUUGAAAAAGUUUCUGUCUUUUGAAUCUAACUCUUAAUCCGAAUGUGAUUUAGUUGGAGGAGAUGAAAUAUGGAAUUGGAAAAUGAAAAUAGCAAACCAAGUAAUAACUAGCUUAGUAAUAUCUUCAACAAGUUAAUCUUUGAAAUAAUUAGAAGUCUUAGGCUUUUUGAAGAACAAAACAAGUUUCACAUAACUACCAGUCUGCCACUCUGUUUUUGUUUCUUGGAAUCUUUUCAUAUAUGAUAUGAUCCCUUUCUGUACAAUUUAUAAGUACCCUAGAAAGAUCAGUGGCUGGAGUUACGGGGUUUGGCAAAGUGGCAUAAUUAUUGGGCUUCUUUAAAGGGCAUUGGCCUUUAUGGUUAGUUUGGUUUUAACAACAAAGAGAUUGUAAGAGUAAUCAGUGGAUCUAUCAACUUUCUUUUCCUUUCAUUUUCGAUUUUCUGUUCUUUUCUUUGCUAAAAGAAAACAGAUAGUGAAACAGUUGGACUCUGCACAGGUGAACAAUGCAGGGGUUGGUGGAAGCAUAGUAGAUGGUGAUGCUUUUAAAGCUUCUGUAGCCUCCGGUGCCACGGUAAGUCUUUUGUAUAAUUUUUUAUCAAUAGCUAUCAAAAACUAAAAGCUUCAAUGUAUGUGCCAAAGUGAGAAUUUAAACUGAUCUGUGGUUUGGCAUACUUUAAUCAACGUUUUUCUUGUUUGGGGUGGGUGUGUAAGUGGUGGGCAAUAGGCACCAUAAUAAUAAGUUUGUUUUUGCUGAUACAGGAAAGAGGAGGAGUUGAUUUUAGUAAACUAGUGACUGAAACUUAUGAGUUAACAGAAGAAUGCUUGCAAAUAAACUAUUAUGGUGCUAAAAGAACAGCUGAAGCACUUAUCCCACUCCUCCAGUUAUCUGACUCACCGAAAAUUGUUAAUGUUUCUUCUGUCAUGGGGAUGUUAAACAACAUACCAAGCGAUUGGGCUAGAGGAGUUUUUACUGAUGCCGAAAACCUAACAGAAGAGAGAGUAGAUGAGGUACUGACUGAGCUUCUAAAAGAUUUCAAGGAGGGUUCACUUGAAAGUAAGGGCUGGCCUUCUUCUAUGCCUGCCUAUAUAGUCUCAAAAGCAGCACUGAACGCAUAUACAAGGAUUCUAGCAAAGAAGUACCCCACUUUUCGUAUCAAUUCAGUCUGCCCUGGCUUUGUCAAAACAGAUAUAAACUACAAUGUCGGUGUCCUACCUGUCGAAGAAGGGGCUGCAAGGGUUAUGAAGUUAGCAUUGCUGCCCAAUGAUGGGCCUUCUGGUUCCUUCUUUGUUCAGUAUGAAGUGUCAGAUCUUUGAUUGAAGAUGAUCCAUUUAUGCAAUUUUAAUACAUAUCACUUGUUGGGCAGCAUCUUGAACUUUGAUGUAAUUUAAGUAUAUUUGGAACCAGCAGCAGAUCCUUUUUAAGUUCUUUCUACAUUCAAUAUGACUCGAGGACGACAUAAAAUAGUCCUGUAUGAUUGCAUCUCUGUGAAAUUAUUUUCCACAUCUUGAGUUGAUUGAAGGAUCUAAUACAUUGCUUGUUUACAUUUCUACUUAUCAACCGGCUCUUGAACCCAUAUUAUCGUUUACAUUAUUAUUCAAC
rnacentral:lncRNA from 1 species